rnacentral:rRNA from 1 species
UACGGGGGGGGCAAGCGUUGUUCGGAAUUACUGGGCGUAAAGGGCUUGUAGGUGGCCAACUAAGUCAGACGUGAAAUCCCUCGGCUUAACCGGGGAACUGCGUCUGAUACUGGAUGGCUUGAGUUCGGGAGAGGGAUGCGGAAUUCCAGGUGUAGCGGUGAAAUGCGUAGAUAUCUGGAGGAACACCGGUGGCGAAGGCGGCAUCCUGGACCGAUACUGACGCUGAGGAGCGAAAGCCAGGGGAGCAAACGGG